rnacentral:rRNA from 1 species
AACGAACGCUGGCGGCAUGCCUAACACAUGCAAGUCGAACGAGACCUUCGGGUCUAGUGGCGCACGGGUGCUUAACGCGUGGGAACCUGCCCUUAGGUUCGGAAUAACUCCCCGAAAGGGAUGCUAAUACCGGAUAAUGUCUUCGGACCAAAGAUUUAUCGCCUUUGGAUGGGCCCGCGUUGGAUUAGCUGGUUGGUAGGGUAAAAGCCUACCAAGGCGACGAUCCAUAGCUGGUCUGAGAGGAUGAUCCGCCACAAUGGGACUGAGACACGGCCCAGACUGCUACGGGAGGCAGCAGUGGGGAAUAUUAGACGAUGGGCGAAAGCGUGAUCCAGCAAUGCCGCGUGAGUGAGGAAGGCCGUAGGGUUGUAAAGCUCUUUUACACGGGAUGAUAAUGACAGUAACGGGAGAAUAAGCUCCGGCUAACUCCGUG